AUGUAUGUGAAUCAUGACUUUACUGAGUUGAGGUUUUGCUCUCAACACCUCGUGUUUCAGCAGAAGAAGUCAAGGAUCUUGAUGAAGAUGUUCCAGUGGGUUUUCCCAAUGCUACUAUUUUUUGGUGUGAGAUGCCAAGUCAAGGUAAACCAGAGCCUGCUGGGGUUCACCAGGGAAGGAGAGACUUCCACCAUUGCCUGCAAGUAUGAAACAGGAUAUUUCGCCAGCUUGCAGUGGUACCGGCAGUUCCCGGGAGAGGGACCUACGCAUCUGCUCACGAUAGCGGGAAAGGAAGGCAGAAAGGAACCCAACUUCAGUGCCGACCUCAACAAAGAGGAGAAGCUGAGUCGCCUGAACAUCACAGGGGUCCAGCACAGAGACGCAGCCACCUACUUCUGUGCUGUGGAAGCACAGUGA